rnacentral:rRNA from 1 species
ACGGGAGGCAGCAGUGAGGAAUAUUGGUCAAUGGGCGGAAGCCUGAACCAGCCAAGUCGCGUGAAGGAUGAAGGUAUUAUGUAUUGUAAACUUCUUUAGACGUAGAGAAAUAAGGGGAUCGUGAUCCCUGAUGCUAGUAUACGUAGAAUAAGGAUCGGCUAACUCCGUGCCAGCAGCCGCGGUAAUACGGAGGAUCCGAGCGUUAUCCGGAUUUAUUGGGUUUAAAGGGUGCGCAGGCGGUCUUUUAAGUCAGUGGUUAAAUCGUGGAGCUUAACUCCAUCCCGCCAUUGAUACUGGAGGACUUGAUUGCGGUUGAGGUUGGCGGAAUUCGCCGUGUAGCGGUGAAAUGCAUAGAUAUGGCGAAGAACUCCGAUUGCGUAGGCAGCUUACCAGACCGACAAUGACGCUCAUGCACGAAAGUGCGGGGAUCGAACAGGAUUAGAUACCCUGGUA